rnacentral:rRNA from 1 species
AGUGAACGCUGGCGGCAGGCCUAACACAUGCAAGUCGAACGGCAGCACAGUAAGCGCUUGCCCUUAAGGGUGGCGACUGGCGGACGGGUGAGGAAUAGAUCAGCAUCUACUUUUUCGUGGGGAACAACGUAGGGAAACUUACGCUAAUACCGCAUACGAUCUACCGGUGAAAUCAAUGGUUCUACGGACCUUGCGCGAUUCAAUUAGAUGAUGUCGGAUUAGCUAGGUGGCUGGGUAAAGGCCCACCAAGGCGACGAUCCGUAGCUGGUCUGAGAGGAUGAUCGGCCACACUGGAACUGAGACACGGUCCAGACUCCUACGGGAGGCAGCAGUGGGGAAUCUUGGGCAAUGGGCGCAAGCCUGACCCAGCAAUGCCGCGUGGGUGAAGAAGGUCUUCGGGUUGUAAAGCCCUUUUGUUGGGAAAGAAAAGCAGUAGAUUAAUACCCCGCUGUUCUGACGGUACCCAAAGAAAAAGCACCGGCUAACUUCGUG